UCUCUUACCUGCCUGUUGCGUGCGGCUCCUGAUGGGAGUGCUCCUUGGUCCAUCACCAGCGGCAUUGAAGGCACUCACGCUGAUGAGAGAUGCUGCCUGACCCGCAGAGUUACUCCAGCACUUUGUGGAUCUUUGGUAUCUACCGGCAUCUGCGGAUCCUUCCUACACAACGAAGAGUUCAUGUUCCCAGUCACUGACCCUCCAACAGAACUGGUAGAGUCUGCUGGCAUGGAAUAGUGUACUUAACCUUCAGUCUCACUGGCGCUGACUGGCAGAUGACCUCAAGGUCCAUCUCCACGGGCUGACUUUCCCACAACUCUGUUCUUCUAGUUUGUUGAUGCCACUCCAAGAAGCACAUCUCAGAAACAGGUCCCUCUAGUGGGACUCGGACACAUUGAUAAAGUGUUCUCUGCUAUCUCAGUCAAAGAGGAUGGAAACAGGUCCUUCAGUCCAACUCAUCCGUGCUGACCAAGAUGCCCAUCUAAGGUAGACCCAUUUGUCCAUGUUUGCCCAAUAUCAUUCUAAACCUUUCGUAUCUAUGUACCUAUCCAAAUGUCCUUUAAAUACUGGUGUUAACGUUGAUGAGGACUUUUAUUGUUGGAGGACAAAUUUACAUUGUGAACUUUAAUUUUUUAGCUUAGUUUAUUGUCACAUGUACAGUGAAAAGCUUUUUGUUGCAUGCUAACCAGUCAGCGGAAAGACUAUUCAUGUAUAUGAUUACAGUCGAUCAAUCUACAGUGUACAGAUACAGGAUAAAGGGGCUUUAUUUUUACAGAUGCCUCAUACUCUGAGAUGUUUCAGUGCACAAGUGCUUGGAAACUGACAGGACAAGUGAACCAUUAGUUAAUUUCAAUAUCCCAGCAUAGAAGCCCCGAAUGCACUCAUUUGAUGAGCUGGCUAAGCUGUGCAUGGAGACACAAGAGGCCGUACACUCUGGCCAUACCACAAGAGACUCAAAGAGUCUGGCAGCAUCCGUGGAGGGAAAGGAAUGGUUGGCGCUAUGGAUCGAAAGCCUGUAUCAGGACUUCUGUGGGCUCAGCGUGUUUUGUGUGAACAAAACAAGCAAGAUGAUGCCUCAACCAAAUCAGAUUGGAAAAAAAACCGGUGAUGGGACAUGUAGAGUCUAAACCAGGAUGCAGAAGUUAGAAUACUAGAAUACUCCGUCAUGAAUACAAGCUGAAAAAGUAUAAAAAUUGAAAUAUAAUUGGAAAUGAGGGAGCAAGGAGGAAAGAGAAAUCAAAACAGAUAGAAAGUUAAAGAAAACGCUCCAAUGAUAAUCAACAUUUGCAGGAAUGAGGCUCCAUGUACGGAGCAGGGGGAUGCUUCUAUUAUCAUUAAUCAAAAAGCCUUUGACAAGGUCCCACACAAGAGAGUAGUGUGCAAAAUUAGAGCACAUGGUAUUGGGGGUAGGGUAUUGACAUGGACAGGGAACUGGUUGGCGGACAGGAAGCAAAGAGUAGGAAUUAACGGGUAGAUUUCUGAUUGGCAGGCAGUGACUAAUGGAAUGCCGAAAGGCUCGGUGCUGGGAUACCAGUUGUUUACAAUAUUUAUUAACUAUUUAGAUGAGCGAAUUAAAUGUGACAUCUCCAAGAUAUCGGGUAACACAAAGCUGGGUGGCAGUGUGAGUUGCGAUGAGGAUGCUAUGAGGCGGCAGGGUGACUUGGAUAGGUUGGGUGAGUGGGCAGAUGCAUGACAGAUGCAGUAUAAUGUGGAUAAAUGUGAGGUUAUCCAUUUUGGUGGCAAGAACAGGAAGGCAGAUUAUUAUCUGUGCGGUGUUAGAUUAGGAAAAGGGGAGGUUCAACGAGAUCUGGAUAUCCUUGUAUAACAGUCAUGGAAAGUAAGCAUGCAGGUACAGCAGGCAGUGAAGAAAGCUAAUGGCAUGUUGGCCUUCAUUGCGAGAGGAUUUGAGCAAGGAGGUCCUACUGCAGUUGUACAAGGCCCUGGUGAGACCGCACCUGCAGCAUUGUGUGCAGUUUUGGUGUCCUAAUUUGAGGAAGGACAUUAUUGUUAUUGAGGGAGUGCAGCGUAGGUUCGCCAGGUUAAUUCCUGGGAUGGCAGGACGGACAUAUGAUGAACAUUGGGUCGACUGGGCUUGUAUUCACUGGAAUUUAGAAGGAUGAGAGGAGAUCAUAUAGAAAUAUAUAACAUUCUUAAAGGAUUGGACAGGCUAGAUGCAGGAAAAAUGUUCCCGAUGUUGGUGGAAUCCAGAACCAGGGGUCACUUUUUAAUAGACAAUAGACAAUAGGUGCAGGAGGAGGCCAUUCAGCCUUUCAAGCCAGCACCGUCAUUCAAUGUGAUCAAUGCUGAUCAUCCCCAAUCAGUGCCCCGUUAACCCGUUCCUGCCUUCUCCCCAUAUCCUGUGUCUCUGCUAUCGUUAAGAGUCCUAUUUAGCUCUCUCUUGAAAGUAUCCGGAGAACUGGCCUCCUUAAUUUAAGAAUAAGGGGUAGGCCAUUUAGGACUAAGAUUAGGAAAAAAAAAAUCACCCAGAGAGUUAUGAAUCUGUGGAAUUCUCUGUCACAGAAGGCAGUGGAGGCGAAUUCACUGGAUGUUUUCAAGAGAGUUAGAUUUAGCUCUAUGGGCUAAAGGAAUCAAGGGAUAUGGAGAAAAAGCAGGAACGAGGUACUGAUUUUAGACGAUCAGCCAUGAUCAUAUUGAAUGGUGAUGCUGGCUCAAAGGGCCGAAUGGCCUACUCCUGCACCUAUUUUCAAUGUUUCUAAUUCUUCAUGUGCAGCCAAUAUUUACCUGCAGUUGAGUAACCAAGUUGUAACUGGAAGGAUGGUGUGGAGUGUGGUAGGCAGGACAGAUAGAGACCUUUAUUUCCUUUACUGCCAGGUCUCUCAGUGAGGUAGAGGCAAAACAAAGUUUGUGGGGAAGCAGGAAAGAAGGUUUGUCUGUUUACUAUGUCUAAAUGGAAUAAUAUUAUGAAUGGGGUUGAGUGGAAAAAUGGAUCAGCCAUGAUCAAAUGGCAGAACAGGCUUGAAGGGCUAAACAGCCUAAUUCUCUUCCUAUAUUUAAUGAUCUUAUGAUCUAACGCUUGUGCAAAAUCCAGAAAGUUACUCUUUGAUUUAUUAUGUAGCAGUAAAUGUUGAGAGCCUUAGGAUUAUUGCUGCCACUAAAUCCAGGGCUUGAAUGGUUGUGUGAAACCUGUGACAGAGCUGAGGAAGUUUAGUGCUUGGUCAGAUAUUACCAUAGUACAGGUUAGUGCUGGAGUAACACACGAGGGUCAGGUAGCAUCUGUGGAGGACAUGGAUCGGUGACUGGGUCCUGAUCUCCAACUGUGAGUCGUCGCCUAUCCGUGUCCUCCAGAGAUGCUGCCUGACCCGCUGCGUAAACCGAGCACUUUGCUGGAUUUGACAGUCUCUUCAUGCCG